rnacentral:rRNA from 1 species
CCUACGGGAGGCAGCAGUGGGGAAUAUUGGACAAUGGGGGGAACCCUGAUCCAGCCAUGCCGCGUGUGUGAAGAAGGCCCUCGGGUUGUAAAGCACUUUCAGUGAGGAAGAACGCCUGGUGGUUAAUACCCAUCAGGAAAGACAUCACUCACAGAAGAAGCACCGGCUAACUCCGUGCCAGCAGCCGCGGUAAUACGGAGGGUGCGAGCGUUAAUCGGAAUUACUGGGCGUAAAGCGCGCGUAGGUGGCUUGAUAAGCCGGUUGUGAAAGCCCCGGGCUCAACCUGGGAACGGCAUCCGGAACUGUCAAGCUAGAGUGCAGGAGAGGAAGGUAGAAUUCCCGGUGUAGCGGUGAAAUGCGUAGAGAUCGGGAGGAAUACCAGUGGCGAAGGCGGCCUUCUGGACUGACACUGCCACUGAGGUGCGAAAGCGUGGGUAGAAAACAGGAUUAGAUACCCUUGUAGUC